UCGUUCCGUAGUUUUUGUUGGGUAAAGAAAACUGUUACGUCAACGUUGCUAGCAUGGAGAAUCGUCCAUAUGUUCAUAUUGGAUAGAGUCCUUCUGGUGAGGUUUGAACAAGCCGAAGUGGAGUUGAUGUUUUACAAGAACUUUGCUGCGAAACGAUGGCCGCCAGCACGUGCAUAUUCGAUGUCGUGGAAUCGCUUGCUGAGAGGCAAAAGCAAAGUCACGCAGACAUGACACAAGCAGGAAGUCAUCAAACGAACCUAGGAGAAAAGAACAACUACAAGAUAAUGCUCCUUGAAGAGCGUGAUGACAUAGGAUUUGGAGAGGAUUCUCAGACAUGGAUGGAGGGUCACAAAGACAGACGUUAAUAAUUACACUGUGGCAGAUGACAAGCAUGGAUCGCAGCGUGAAAACUAUCAAGGGCUUCUUCAGAGAGGAGGACAACUUCGGAUCACGUACGUCAACGAGGGGACCGGAUCAUGGAUCAAGAAUCAAGAAUUCCGCAAGUAAAAGUCAAGUUUAAUGGUCAGGUAGAAAAAAUAUGCGAAAACAGUAGGCUUCAAUUAAAUUACAAUUACUCGGAAGGACUCUCAGCUACAAUUGUCUCGUUUGGUUUUAUUUUUGUUAAGACCACUGGGAAAGAACGUAGUUUAAAUUGUCUUGAUUUUUCAAAACUUACCCAGUGCAAAGUUUAGAAAUUUGCUUAAAUUUUUUUUAGCAGAGGUGCGAAACAAAAUUAUCUAGAUUUCUCUUAUUUCAAGACUUCUCAGAAAGAAUAGCUGUACAAAUUUCCUGUUUGCAAGAUUGUUUCAAGCUGUUUACGAAAUCUGAACUUCGUGUGAAGUUGUAGAAAAUGUCUUAGUAGAAGUGCCAUUAACUUUUUUGCUGUGAUUAUUUCCAUGCUAACAUCUAUUUAAAAAGUUUUAAUUUUCCCGCCAAAAAACUUAGAAAAAA